AACAGAACAGAAUCUUCAUCAUCACACAAACCAAAAGAACAACAAUGACUUUCAUCAUCAUCUUCAUCUGGACACUCACAGUCUUUACUCAAGUGUGUAGAGGACAGUACACUCUUACUCAGAGUCCAUCAAUAACAGUUAAACCAGGACAACAAGUUCAAAUAAAAUGUAAAGUCAGCAGUAGAGUGCAUGAUGGUAAUCGUUUACACUGGUUCUUACAGAGACCUGGAGAAGCUCCUAAACUCCUCAUAUAUUACAUAAAUAAUGUUCAGUCAGGAACUCCAUCAAGAUUCAGUGGCAGCGGAUCAAACACAGAUUUCACUUUGACCAUCAAUGGAGUUCAGACUGAAGAUUUAGGAGAUUAUUACUGUCAGAGUCAACACUAUAUCAGUAAUAGCUGGGUGUUGACACAAUGAUAAAGAGUGAUACAAAAACCUCUGUCAGACUGCACAGUGACUGCUCUCAUACUCCUGACAGAUAGUGCAGUCACAACACAAUAA